rnacentral:rRNA from 1 species
AUACGGAGGAUCCGAGCGUUAUCCGGAUUUAUUGGGUUUAAAGGGUGCGCAGGCGGCCAUUUAAGUCAGCGGUUAAAUCGUGGGGCUCAACCCCAUUCUGCCGUUGAUACUGGGGGGCUUGCUUGUGGUCGGGGUUGGCGGAAUUCGAUGUGUAGCGGUGAAAUGCAUAGAUAUGACGAAGAACACCGAUUGCGUAGGCAGCUGACCAGACCGCAAAUGACGCUCAUGCACGAAAGUGCGGGGAUCGAACAGGAUUAGAUACCCUGGUAGUCCGCACAGUAAACGAUGAAUACUUGUUUUCGGCGAUAUAAUGUCGGAGGCAAAGCGAAAGCGAUAAGUAUUCCACCUGGGGAGUACGCCGGCAACGGUGAAACUCAAAGGAAUUGACGGGG